rnacentral:lncRNA from 1 species
AACUCUCCUCUUUUUGAAUACAAAAUUCUAAGUUUCCAAAGGUUUUGUAUAGAAGAACUAUAGUACAAAUCCUUGGUAUUUCUAUUUUCUUUUCUACAUCAGUAAAAUGACCCCUUGUCUGAGGGAGAGUUGUUCUCAACCUGAUAAUAACAAACACAGGUCAAAGUACGGCCUUUUACCAUGUUUACACAGGGCUUUGAUACAGACCAAACAGCAAGCUAUAAAGGACCCCAAAAUUAUUAGUGUACACAAUUCGAACAGGAAAACAAACGAUCUAAUUUAUAUAUCCAAACGGGAAAAUACCAAUGAACAAUAUCAAUAAACGAUAACUGCCGAACGACAGGCCCCUGAAUCAAUCAGGACAGGUGCAUAAACAUGCAGCGGCUAUGAAUAGUUUUGUUUCGCCAGCAUACAAUAUAAUUGCAGUUGUAGGCAAAUCCUUCAGAAGUUCUCUGUACUUUAUUUUAACAACGAACAUUUUUUGAUAGGGAAUAUAAGUAAGGGGGAAAGAAACCAAUUUUUUGUUCUUUACAGGUAUUUCCACUGUUAUAAAUUUAUUUCGGAGCACUCCCUCUUUGGAUAAAUAGGUUUCA